rnacentral:tRNA from 1 species
GGGCCCGUAGCUCAGCUUGGUAGAGCAGGUGGCUCUUAACCACAAGGUCGUGGGUUCAAAUCCCUCCGGGCCCA